GCAGCCGGCCUCGGGCCUGGGAGAAGCAGGCAGUGUUUACACCUGUCACGAGGAAGGGGGAGGGAAAAAGAGGAAGCCCGAGCAAAGCCCCAAACUUCUCUACAGCUCCAGAGAGGGAGCGGCCGGCCGGAGCUAUGGGCAGGUGGAAGCGGAGGCGCGGAGCGAUCCGACAGUGGCCGGAGAGUCAUCGAGAUGUUGCAGGGAAAGACGUCUUACUGCAGCCUUCCUCUGAAGCAGCGCUCCGGCGAGAGACAGGUGCUCCUCAGCCGGUUAACGAUAACGUUCAAUCAGGACUAAGUCUCUUGCUAAGUAAAACUGCAAUAUAGAACCAUAUCUUUACCAAAAACCUACUUGGAGACCCCUUAUCAGCUUGCCCUUUUCGCCCCGGAAAACGACUUUUUCAUCCCGUCCAAGUCCCUUCCUCUUUUUAAUUUAAACUGACAGAAGAGGAAGCUGGUAGUAACAAAGAAGAGAUGGUUAUAAAUCAACAAAGAGGGAAAGCACCCGGUGAAGACUGACAGAGCGGCUUUAAGACCACCAACAAAAAAUUGGGAAUUUUGCUCACAGAUGGAGAUGAUGGUGAUUUUUCAUACCUGCUGCGAAGCUAAAGAAAUCAAAUCAACUUAACGCAUUUCUCUAGCAGGGAUCAUAAUGGAUUCUUUUUCUGUCAUUAGUGUUGAGCAGUUGAUUAUUUGCGUUUUUAUAACCUUUCCCUCUCAUAAAUGUUAGAACACCGGCCACUGUAAAUAGCAGUGGCUUACAAGGAUUAUUGUUAUCGUCCGGGAUGGUGAGCCUGGAGUACCUACCCUGCAAAUCAUGAGCCCUGCUGAGUGCCCAUUCUACUCACUUUUGCCAAACCUGCAACGGUAACGAGUAAUUUAAAAUAGUUCCAAAACAGCUAAGCUCAGCAGCUCCGCAAAGAAACAGGAUGGAAAACACCCCCUCAGCCACAGAGAAAUGUCCACCCCCUUGAGUGGAGGAAUUAUACAAAUCGGGGGGAAGAGAAGGACAAAAGCAGUCCAUCACGGUUUAUCCUGCCUCUGCAAUAUUCUAGACAAAUUAACUUGGAGCGCUAAAUAGACCUGCAUUUGUCUUUUUACAACUCAGUAGCUGUAAGAAAUACGGAGACCGCAUCACUUUAGGUUGGAGUACCAAUUGCUUUGUGGUGGUACUGGAUUUUUUGUUAUUGCUCACUCACUGAAAAAAAAAAUCUUUAUGGCUUGUCAAAUUCCUAUUGUAUUUCGCCCCCUGCUGGUGUAGUUCGCGUGCAAGCUUGAAAACAAUUUAUGUACGUCCCCAUAAAUGUUUAUUGGCCAAGAAAAAGAAAAAUAUUUGUGGGCAUGUG